UCCAAGCAGUGAGAACUGCUUCAGGCUCCAUUAAAAUGCAAAGCUCCCAGAAAUCAAAGGCAGCAGCAGCAGGACUGAGCCCCGGCUGCAGCGCAGCCCUGAGCCAGGAGAGCAGAGACCCCGGACAGCUGAAGUGGGGCGAGGGACCCUGGAUCCAGCACAACAAAACUUCUGCACUUCUGAUCUGAUCGCAUGCAGCACUGCAGGAUGAAAUUCCAGCUGUUGGCCUCCAGGCUCACCUGUGCUUGUCUCAACCACAGAAAAAUUCAAGAUGUGGCUGCAAAAAGAACUGAACUACACAGCUCUUUAUAAGCAAGCAAGUUGAUCCCAAGAUGGAAGGACUGGAUUGAAUCUGAUCAUUCUAGUCCUCUGAAAGCUGCUACCUGCAGCUCUUAUUUACCCCCUCUCUAGCACUUGGCAUUAUAUGAAAUGUGAGAAAGAGGCACACACAAAUUUAAAGAACACUUAUCAGUAAGAAAGUAUAUUUAUCAGAACAAGAUUAAAGAGAUUUAAGG